UCAGCAUUAUUGGAGAGGCCGAACUACGGCUUUGGGCAGCGUUCGGUUCUUCAGGCCGCCUUAGGCUGUGUGGACGCGGGUUGUGUUAACCUUUCUGAGCUUCCCAGGUUGAGAAGAGGGCGACAGACGCCGAGAUGGUUGGAUGACAUCAUCGAAGCACGGGACAUGAGUUUGAGCAAGCUCCAGGAGAUAGGGAAGGACAGGGAAGCCUGGCAUACUGCAGCGUCACAGAGUCGGACACGGCUGAGCCACAACAACAACAACAAGCAAGUUGAUUCAGAAGACAGAUGAGAAAUGUGUCCCUGGGGCAGCAAGGCUGAACACCACGACUUGGAGAUCCUUUGUUAAAAGGGAAAAUGAGAUCAGCGGUUAUUACCACACCUGCUGGCACUCUUCAGAGAGGAGAGACUCCCUUGGACAAGAGAGGCAGGCUGCCGAAGCCCACCGAACGUGCUUCUGAUAUUCAGGGGAGCUGCCUGGAGGUUAUGUCACAGCCUCGUGAAGAACAACACUCGUGGUUGUUGCUCUUGUUGCCCAGUCGCUAAGUGGUGUCCGACUCUUUGCCCGCCAGGCUCCACUGUCCAUGGGAUUUCCCAGAAAAGUUUGCUGACCUCGUGAAAGACCCUUAUGCUACUCAGGGUCUCCAUUUGACUGUCUCACCUGUGAAUUUCUCUGUGAUGGAUUCUAGUCCAGCAUCUGUUUCCCAAAAUACCUGUUACCAGCUGCAUGUGGAAAGGAGAGUAUUUGAACUGUGCCUGCCAUGACUCAAGAAGUGAGCUUUAAGUUUUAUUGAAUUACAUGUCUUCCUUCUCCACCCUGAAGAUUCAUCUCUGAGACAGUUCUCAGGCCCUUCAUUGUGUUGGAAAACCCCAGCUUCAUGUUCUGGCCUCUGCGCUGUGGAGCAUCAAAUCCGAUGUCCAAGCACCACGGCUACCCCUUUCAGCCGUGUGUGACUCUUUGCCGCCCCCUGGACUGAGCUCACCAGGCUCCUCUGUCCAUGGGAUUCUCCAGGCCAGAAUACUGGAGUGGGUUGCCAUGCCCUUCUCCAGGGGAUCUUCCCGAGUCAGGGAUCGAACCCAAGUCUCCCACAUUGCAGGCGGAUUCAUUACCGUCUGAGCCACCAGGGAAGCCAGCACAGAGAGGAUGUAAUAAUAAUGGAAAUAAAAAAAUAAAAUGUAAUAUGCUUGAUUCAUCCUCAUACCAUCCCCCUGACACCUGCCGCAGGUCUGUGGAAAAAUUAUCUUU